rnacentral:misc_RNA from 1 species
AAGUCGUAACAAGGUAACCGUAGGUGAACCUGCGGUUGGAUCAUUAAACAAAACCAAGGUGCCGGGAGCGAGCGGCAUAGGACGCACCCAAGUAAGUCGUCCUCUCCGUUCGCCCUCGGAUUACCACACAUCUUGUGAACCCUCAAACCCGUCCGGCGGGGGAGGGAUGGGAGGCUCUCCGGAGCUUCCGAUCCCUCCGUCAGUGCGAGGCAGCCUCCCCGGUUGUCUUGCGCCGUGGACAACCCGCCCACCCAACCCUUCCAGCCUUCGUGUUGAAGGGGUUGCUUUGCCCAACUUUUUGGAUCUUUACGAAUUGUGAAAUGUCUCUGAGAAUGCGAUGGUGCAAUUGCACCGUCUUUUGGAAACAAACAUUCAAAAACAACUUUUGGCAACGGAUCUCUUGGCUCUC